AUUGAACGCUGGCGGCAGGCCUAACACAUGCAAGUCGAGCGGAUGAAGGGAGCUUGCUCCUGGAUUCAGCGGCGGACGGGUGAGUAAUGCCUAGGAAUCUGCCUGGUAGUGGGGGAUAACGUCCGGAAACGGGCGCUAAUACCGCAUACGUCCUGAGGGAGAAAGUGGGGGAUCUUCGGACCUCACGCUAUCAGAUGAGCCUAGGUCGGAUUAGCUAGUUGGUGGGGUAAAGGCCUACCAAGGCGACGAUCCGUAACUGGUCUGAGAGGAUGAUCAGUCACACUGGAACUGAGACACGGUCCAGACUCCUACGGGAGGCAGCAGUGGGGAAUAUUGGACAAUGGGCGAAAGCCUGAUCCAGCCAUGCCGCGUGUGUGAAGAAGGUCUUCGGAUUGUAAAGCACUUUAAGUUGGGAGGAAGGGCAGUAAGUUAAUACCUUGCUGUUUUGACGUUACCAGCAGAAUAAGCACCGGCUAACAUCGUG
rnacentral:rRNA from 1 species